CUGCGCACGUGCAGACAAUGGACAGGGGAAGACCGUUGCAAAACAAACUUGUUGGCGCGGUGAGUGAAACAAAUCAUGGAGUAGAACUACUGUUUUCUUCUAAAGCUCUAACUGGCGCUGGCUACCUUAUUCAUGGUGACGCCUUAAAUGAGAAAACGCAGAACUGUGGCCUAAUGCUGUCAGUCUCAAUCCAGGAGAGAGUGGUGAAGAUGUAACACCAUACUUUUGCAUCAUGUGGCUUUGGAAAAAUCUGGAACCUGGGAUUUCGAGACCAAUGACCAUCGGGAUGUGCCUUCAGGUCAUACAGGCAGAUUUCCACUGCCUCCUGGAAUGUUAAGCUCCACUUGUGGCUCAGCUUUUGUUCCACUGCCGUGAAACAAAAGGUAAAGUGGCUUUUCAACUACCACCACACACACACACACACACACACACACACACACACAACCACGUCACAAUCCCCUGAAAUCCCUGUCAACAGUUGUUUCUCUUUUCUUUUCUCCACACUCACAGUAAACAGUAAAUUAUUCACGUGAGAAUAAUCCAUGAAACUGUAUUACUAUAAAUACAGACAAUUCAACUCCACAUUAAAAAAAAAACCAAGAUCAUCCAGGCAGUAAUAGUUUACACUUUGUUUGAGUUAAAAGUAUUAAACAAUCUCAUUUUAAAUUGCAUUUUGUUCAACAAAAUCUUAAAAUUGUCUUUUACAAAGAAUACAGUUUCAUGCAGAAAGUGGUAAAUAUAUACAUGUAUUUUAAAAAAAAUAGCUUCAACAAAGACAUGUCCUUAUACUCCCGGCAGCCAUCUUUGUGGUGUGAGUUCAGGUGAGAAUGUGUGUCAAGUCAGUCUCUGUAAAAACAAAGAAUGUAGGCCACCGUGCACGUUUGGAACACAUUUGCGAAGUGGGUCAAAACGACGGGUGUGGGUGUGGGCUUUCCUUCUUUAAUGAACGUGAUGAGCAGCUGUCAGAUUGUUACCAUUCAUCGGCCCUUUGCCAUAAAGCUUUGUGAGUUUUAAUCCUGACGUUACCAUCAGUCAUUAUCGUCAUUAUCAUCGUCAUUAUUGUGUUUUUGUUUACUGAGGUAACUUCGACUCUCAGCCUUUUAUGUAAGAAAUGAUGCUAAUAUUCUUAUGUAAUUGUCAUUGAAUGAAUUUUUAACACAAUGACUUUGUUGCAUUUUUCAGUUUUGUCUUAAAACAAAGAAGGAAACGUAACCAGCUCGUGUCUGGGGGUUCCACUGUACACUAGAGUUAUCUUUUCUAUUACAAAAAUGUUCUUCUCUAAAUGUAGUAUAAAAUACUACAUACAGAUCAUAUUUCAUUUUUAAUUAAAAUUAAUCAAAGUGUAAUAUUAUUUUAAUAUGGAUAAAAGGAGGAGAAUGUAUUAUAAAAUGAUUUAGUUACCUUAAGAUAAAAAGCAGAUUUAAUGAAUAACAUAAAGUAAAUGUUGGAAUAUUAAAUCUUUUUUGAAUGGGAUUACAGCACGAAUACAACUAUGGCCUCAUGUGAUGUAAUCUUCAAUUGUCAAAGAAACAAACAAAAAAUAAAAACAAUAAAAUAUUAUGAAACAACACAUAACUAUUAUGUGACAAAAAGAUCGACAUUACUUAACAGCACCACAACUGUCAGUCUGUGUUUAGAGGAGGAACUGUUUCAGCCUGUCAUUAAAAUCAUCUCUGCUGAUUAUUACAUAAAAACAGAUGUGUGUCACAAUACCAGAAACAUCCAGGUUUAUCAACACUGUUCCUUUUCCUCCUGGCUGGUUUUAAUUCUAGGAAUUACUUUGGCCACAUUCCAUUUCGCUCUGCACCUCAUUACAGAGACAGUAGUGAGUCUACAGAGUCUGUAAUCAUCCUCCACUGUCACCUGAAAACACAGUCAUUGUCAGCUGUUGUUUCCUGCACACACCCUGAACCAAACCUGACGAGUGCUCCAGCGGCAGUUCUGUCUGAGCUGUAGUCACACGCAGGUCAUCAAACCUUUUGUCUGUGAUUUAACUUUGAU